UUUCCGUAGGUGAACCUGCGGAAGGAUCAUUACCGAGUACCGGGUCUCCGGACCCAUACUCCCACCCUUUGUGUAUCUACCACUGUUUUGUUGCCUUGGUGAGGGAGAUCCCGAGGCCUCACCGCCGAGGGGGACUCAUCAAGGGGGCACCUUAAACUCUCUUGAACGGUACCGUCUGAGAACAAACAAAUAAGUUAAAACUUUCAACAACGGAUCUCUUGGUUCUGGCAUCGAUGAAGAACGCAGC
rnacentral:misc_RNA from 1 species